GUCGCUGACGCCGACCGCAAGGGGAGCAGGCGCCUACGGAGUGAUCGAUGAUUGGGGUG
rnacentral:rRNA from 1 species